rnacentral:rRNA from 1 species
UACGGAGGGUGCAAACGUUGCUCGGAAUCAUUGGGCGUAAAGCGCACGUAGGCGGUUUGUUAAGUCGGAUGUGAAAGCCCCGGGCUCAACCCGGGAAGUGCAUACGAAACUGGCGGACUUGAAUAUGGAAGAGGGUCGCGGAAUUCCCGGUGUAGAGGUGAAAUUCGUAGAUAUCGGGAGGAACACCAGUGGCGAAGGCGGCGACCUGGGCCAAUAUUGACGCUGAGGUGCGAAAGCGUGGGGAGCAAACAGG